GAAGGUGUAUAUAAUGAUGGAUAUAUGUUAAAAUUUAUUUUAACAAGAAGAUUUUAUACACUGUAUCAUAAUGGGAAGAGUUUGGGUAACAUUGUUGUGUAGUUUGCUGAUAAUCGGAGACAUUUUUGGUUUUCCUGGUCUACAAUUAAGAAAUAGAAAAGCAGAUUUGAGGCUGGUCGGAGAAUCCAAUGAAAGAUGUGUCGACGAAUCUGGACCAAGAUGUGAUGCCUUACACAAAUUUUGUGAUUACAAUGACAUAAAACGAAUAUGUUGCGCAACUUGUAAUAACGCUAUGAACAACGAAGCAAGGAAGAUCCAUAGUUUCAGAUCAAACAAUGCAAAGGCUAUUGAUCGGGACAUGACUAGAGGGUGGCCAUGGUAGAUCUAUGUUAAAACAUUGCUGCCAGCAAAUUUGUUAAACGGAAUAAGGAAUCAAAGACUGCCAA